CUAUUUGUUAUAAUCCAAGUAUAGUGUAGUGGCUAAAAGCACAGACUCCGGAACUAGUGCUGGAUGUAUAAUCCUGGGCAUGUUAUUUACCUCCUCUGUUUAUCUGUGCCUCUGUUUUCCCUGUUAAAUGAGGAUAAUAUAUUUCCUACUUCAUAGAGUGGUUGUAGGGAUUAAAUGAGUACGUGUCUACCUGAGAACAGUGCCAAGAGCACAGAAAGUUCACUGCCUGUGUUUGCUACUAUUGUUAUCAUUUCCUAUUUGUCACUUAUUAUUAUCAUUCAUCUCCCACCCCCAGACUCCAAGUUCCCCCAAGCCAGAGAUCUCCUAUCCCAGCCAAGCACCUGGCACAUAGGAAGCCUUUGAAAAAUCAUUGAACAAAUGAGAGCCUGGGCCAGCCCUGGGAUUGCAGCUCCACCCCAGUCCCGACAGACACAUCUCACUGAUGCUGACUCAGUUGUCAGGAACACAUGCUGACAAGGGGUCUGUGAGACUCCUGCUCAUACCUCGUUUGCCAGCUGCUGCAAUGCCAUCUUGAACGGCCCGCCUCCAAACAUGUUCGGCAUUGGUGUCUGCUCCAGUCUGGAAGAGAAAUGGAGCUCUCAAGACUCACUCAACUCAGUCUAAGACCAGCAGAGUCUGAAGAGAAGGAGAGAGAUAGGAGGUUUCAACAGGCCUGGCCAGGAGGCCUCCCACUCACCUCCCCAUCACCUCCACCAAUCCAACCGUUCCAAGAUCUCAAAGCACAAGUGGGGCUGUCCCUGUCUACCAAGCCCAAGGUAGGCACCCCCAGUCUCAUUGCACCUACCACACUGCAGACAAAUUAUCAGUUUCUUCCACUAACUGUUGAGUUCCUAGAGGAAAGGGACUGUCUGUAUGCCCAUCACUGGGCACAAAGUCUUGAACAUGGUAGAUAGUUAAAUAUUUAACUGAAUGAAUAUAAUUCCUCUUCCUACUCUGCAAGAAAACCGGCCAGAGGUAAGCUCUGCUGUUAUAGACCUGGACCCACAGCCAGCAGCCUUUAUUUGCCUUAGUUAUCUUGCCAGGGCAGUUGGAGAAUUUAGACAGUUCUUUUCCAGCUUGUGAGCUCUAACUUCAGGCCUGGACUUUGGACUAUUCCAGCUACCUAACCUAGCUUUUGUCUGCUGGCCCUUACUUGCCAUAAUGGAUAGAUCCUCUUCUGAUGUCUAACCCACUGUCCUUCCCGCAGCCCCCACGGGGGCUUCUCAGCCCAGCUUCAGGACAAGAAGCUUAGCUUCCUCACACUCAAAGUGGGAAAAUGCCAGGUCUUCCAGCCUGAGUCUGGCAAGGGAGCAGGGCCAGGAAUUGCUUACCGGCUGACAGCAGCUGCGAGGAUGCCAAUGCUUGUUUCCUUUGGAGGAGCUGAAGAAUGGCCUGGAGUCAUGUUUACUUGCAGCAUGAGGUCAAUUGCACCCUUCUCGGAGACUGAAACCCUGUAGGAGAGGGUCAGAGAGGGCCCUCCUGACCUCCUCCCACCCUGAAUGAUCCCAUAGGCCCCAGGCCCAUCUGUGCAGUGUCUGGUGGGCCAGGAGGUCAGCUUCAUGCUGCUUAACAAAAUGUACUCUAGAGGAGGAAGGGAAAGGGAAGCCCAGACCUGGUCGAAGAUCGGGGUGAUUAAAGCAAGAGGAGUAAAAUAAA